rnacentral:rRNA from 1 species
UACGGAGGAUGCAAGCGUUAUCCGGAAUGAUUGGGCGUAAAGCGUCCGCAGGUGGCUGUGUAAGUCUGCUGUCAAAGAGCAAAGCUCAACUUUGUAAAGGCAGUGGAAACUACACGGCUAGAGUGCGUUCGGGGCAGAGGGAAUUCCUGGUGUAGCGGUGGAAUGCGUAGAGAUCAGGAAGAACACCGGUGGCGAAGGCGCUCUGCUAGGCCGCAACUGACACUGAGGGACGAAAGCUAGGGGAGCGAAUGGG